UCCCUGGAGGUCCAGUGGUUAAGAUUCGGUGCUUUCACUACUGAGGGCUUAGGUUCAAUCCCUGCUUGGGGAA
rnacentral:tRNA from 1 species